CCUACGGUAGGCAGCAGUGGGGAAUAUUGGACAAUGGGCGAAAGCCUGAUCCAGCCAUGCCGCGUGUGUGAAGAAGGCCUUCGGGUUGUAAAGCACUUUCAGUGGGGAAGAAAGCCUUGGGGCUAAUACCCUCGAGGAAGGACAUCACCCACAGAAGAAGCACCGGCUAACUCCGUGCCAGCAGCCGCGGUAAUACGGAGGGUGCGAGCGUUAAUCGGAAUUACUGGGCGUAAAGCGCGCGUAGGCGGUCUGAUAAGCCGGUUGUGAAAGCCCCGGGCUCAACCUGGGAACGGCAUCCGGAACUGUCAGGCUAGAGUGCAGGAGAGGAAGGUAGAAUUCCCGGUGUAGCAGUGAAAUGCGUAGAGAUCGGGAGGAAUACCAGUGGCGAAGGCGGCCUUCUGGACUGACACUGACGCUGAGGUGCGAAAGCGUGGGUAGCAAACAGGAUUAGAUACCCCGGUAGUC
rnacentral:rRNA from 1 species